rnacentral:rRNA from 1 species
UUGCCCCAGUAACGGCGAGUGAAGCGGCAACAGCUCAAAUUUGAAAUCUGGCCCCUAGGGCCCGAGUUGUAAUUUGCAGAGGAUGCUUUUGGCGAGGUGCCUUCCGAGUUCCCUGGAACGGGACGCCACAGAGGGUGAGAGCCCCGUCUGGUUGGAUACCGAGCCUCUGUAAAGCUCCUUCGACGAGUCGAGUAGUUUGGGAAUGCUGCUCUAAAUGGGAGGUAUAUGUCUUCUAAAGCUAAAUACCGGCCAGAGACCGAUAGCGCACAAGUAGAGUGAUCGAAAGAUGAAAAGCACUUUGAAAAGAGGGUUAAAUAGUACGUGAAAUUGUUGAAAGGGAAGCGCUUAUGACCAGACUUGGGCCCGGUGAAUCAUCCAGCGUUCUCGCUGGUGCACUUUGCCGGGCUCAGGCCAGCAUCAGUUUGCCCCGGGGGACAAAGGCUUUGGGAAUGUGGCUCUUUCGGGAGUGUUAUAGCCCAUUGCACAAUACCCUGAGGCGGACUGAGGUUCGCGCAUCUGCAAGGAUGCUGGCGUAAUGGUCAUCAGCGACCCGUCUUGAAACACGGACCAAGGAGUCGUCUUCGUAUGCGAGUGUUCGGGUGUAAAACCCCUACGCGUAAUGAAAGUGAACGCAGGUGAGAGCUUCGGCGCAUCAUCGACCGAUCCUGAUGUUCUCGGAUGGAUUUGAGUAAGAGCAUACGGGGCCGGACCCGAAAGAAGGUGAACUAUGCCUGUAUAGGGUGAAGCCAGAGGAAACUCUGGUGGAGGCUCGCAGCGGUUCUGACGUGCAAAUCGAUCGUCAAAUAUGGGCAUGGGGGCGAAAGACUAAUCGAACCUUCUAGUAGCUGGUUUCCGCCGAAGUUUCCCUCAGGAUAGCAGUGUUGAACUCAGUUUUAUGAGGUAAAGCGAAUGAUUAGGGACCCGGGGGCGCUUCUUAGCCUUCAUCCAUUCUCAAACUUUAAAUAUGUAAGAAGCCCUUGUUACUUAGUUGAACGUGGGCAUUCGAAUGUAUCAACACUAGUGGGCCAUUUUUGGUAAGCAGAACUGGCGAUGCGGGAUGAACCGAACGCGAGGUUAAGGUGCCAGAGUAGACGCUCAUCAGACACCACAAAAGGUGUUAGUACAUCUUGACAGCAGGACGGUGGCCAUGGAAGUCGGAAUCCGCUAAGGACUGUGUAACAACUCACCUGCCGAAUGUACUAGCCCUGAAAAUGGAUGGCGCUCAAGCGUCUCACCCAUACCUCGCCCUCAGGGUAGAAACGAAGCCCUGAGGAGUAGGCGGACGUGGAGGUCAG